CCGCUUUUUNNNNNCGAUGGGAGCUACACAUGCAGUGAGCGGGGAAGGUAGCUUGCUACAUUUCCUAGCGGCGGACGGGUGAGUAAUGCUUAGGAAUCUGCCUAUUAGUGGGGGACAACAUUCCGAAAGGAAUGCUAAUACCGCAUACGCCCUACGGGGGAAAGCAGGGGAUCUUCGGACCUUGCGCUAAUAGAUGAGCCUAAGUCAGAUUAGCUAGUUGGUGGGGUAAAGGCCUACCAAGGCGACGAUCUGUAGCGGGUCUGAGAGGAUGAUCCGCCACACUGGGACUGAGACACGGCCCAGACUCCUACGGGAGGCAGCAGUGGGGAAUAUUGGACAAUGGGCGAAAGCCUGAUCCAGCCAUGCCGCGUGUGUGAAGAAGGCCUUUUGGUUGUAAAGCACUUUAAGCGAGGAGGAGGCUACUUAGAUUAAUACUCUAGGAUAGUGGACGUUACUCGCAGAAUAAGCACCGGCUAACUCUGUGCCAGCAGCCGCGGUAAUACAGAGGGUGCGAGCGUUAAUCGGAUUUACUGGGCGUAAAGCGUGCGUAGGCGGCUUCUUAAGUCGGAUGUGAAAUCCCUGAGCUUAACUUAGGAAUUGCAUUCGAUACUGGGAAGCUAGAGUAUGGGAGAGGAUGGUAGAAUUCCAGGUGUAGCGGUGAAAUGCGUAGAGAUCUGGAGGAAUACCGAUGGCGAAGGCAGCCAUCUGGCCUAAUACUGACGCUGAGGUACGAAAGCAUGGGGAGCAAACAGGAUUAGAUACCCUGGUAGUCCAUGCCGUANACGAUGUCUACUAGCCGUUGGGGCCUUUGAGGCUUUAGUGGCGCAGCUAACGCGAUAAGUAGACCGCCUGGGGAGUACGGUC
rnacentral:rRNA from 1 species